rnacentral:rRNA from 1 species
GACGAACGCUGGCGGCGUGCCUAACACAUGCAAGUCGAGCGGGGUUGAAGCGAGGGGUAACUCGGACUUCUACCUAGCGGCGGACGGGUGAGUAACGCGUGGGCAACCUGCCUCAAGGUUUGGGAUAACAGCUCGAAAGGGCUGCUAAUACCGGAUAUGCCUGUGGCCUCGCAUGGGGCUAUGAGCAAAGGGGAAACCCGCCUUGAGAUGGGCCCGCGUCCCAUCAGCUAGUUGGUGAGGUGAAGGCUCACCAAGGCGACGACGGGUAGCCGGCCUGAGAGGGUGACCGGCCACACUGGGACUGAGACACGGCCCAGACUCCUACGGGGGGCAGCAGUGGGGGAUCUUGCACAAUGGGCGAAAGCCUGAUGCAGCGACGCCGCGUGAGCGAAGAAGGCCUUCGGGUUGUAAGCUCUGUCUGGAGGGACGAAACGAAAUAGACGGUACCUCCGGACGGAAGCCACGGCUAACUACGUGCCAGCAGCCGCGGUAAAGUCACGUCG